rnacentral:rRNA from 1 species
AUACGGAGGAUCCGAGCGUUAUCCGGAUUUAUUGGGUUUAAAGGGUGCGCAGGCGGCCAUUUAAGUCAGCGGUUAAAUCGUGGGGCUCAACCCCAUUCUGCCGUUGAUACUGGGUGGCUUGAUUGCGGUCGAGGUUGGCGGAAUUCGUUGUGUAGCGGUGAAAUGCAUAGAUAUGACGAAGAACACCGAUUGCGUAGGCAGCUGACCAGACCGCAAAUGACGCUCAUGCACGAAAGUGCGGGGAUCGAACAGGAUUAGAUACCCUGGUAGUCCGCACAGUAAACGAUGAAUACUUGCUUUCGGCGAUAUAAUGUCGGAGGCAAAGCGAAAGCGAUAAGUAUUCCACCUGGGGAGUACGCCGGCAACGGUGAAACUCAAAGGAAUUGACGGGG